rnacentral:lncRNA from 1 species
AAUAAUCGACGCGCCAUAUUGCUUAUCGCAUCAACUAGGCAUCAUAUUGCAUCGAUUCCGCAUUGACUUACUGUAAUUCCACCUCCAAAAUUUGGUUAAGGUAUAAUCCUUUUUUUCUAUAUUUUCUACAGCUCUUCUCCGCAUGUUCCUUGACUUAAUAAAAGUGUAUCUCCUUAUCACGAUAGUUAAGUCCACAACAUCAAUCACAGCUUGCUUCAUAAUA